rnacentral:rRNA from 1 species
UACGUAGGGGGCUAGCGUUGUCCGGAAUCAUUGGGCGUAAAGAGCGUGUAGGCGGUCCGGUAAGUCCGCUGUGAAAGUCGGGGGCUCAACCCUCGAAUGCCGGUGGAUACUGUCGGGCUAGAGUGCGGAAGAGGCGAGUGGAAUUCCUGGUGUAGCGGUGAAAUGCGCAGAUAUCAGGAGGAACACCUAUUGCGAAGGCAGCUCUCUGGGACGGUACUGACGCUGAGACGCGAAAGCGUGGGGAGCGAACAGG